GAUGAACGCUGGCGGCGUGCUUAGCACAUGCAAGUCGAACGGAAAGGCCCAAGCUUGCUUGGGUCCUCGAGUGGCGAACGGGUGAGUAACACGUGGGUGAUCUGCCCUGCACUUCGGGAUAAGCCUGGGAAACUGGGUCUAAUACCGGAUAGGACCACAUUUUGGAUGGUGUGGUGGAAAGUUUUUCGGUGUGGGAUGAGCUCGCGGCCUAUCAGCUUGUUGGUGGGGUAAUGGCCUACCAAGGCGUCGACGGGUAGCCGGCCUGAGAGGGUGUACGGCCGCAUCGGGACUGAGAUACGGCCCAGACUCCUGCGGGGGGCAGCAGUGGGGAAGAUUGCACAAUGGGCGCAAGCCUGAUGCAGCGACGCCGCGUGGGGGAUGACGGCCUUCGGGUUGUAAACUCCUUUCGCUAGGGACGAAGCGUUUUUGUGACGGUACCUGGAGAAGAAGCACCGGCUAACUACGUG
rnacentral:rRNA from 1 species